CGGGGUAUAGCUCAGUGGUAGAGCAUUCCCAAUGCAGAUCGAAUUUUCCCCCGGGUUCAAACCGGGUGCCCCUU